UACCCUCCCCAGGCUGGAGGUCCCAGGCUGGACUGGAUGAGAAUCUCUUUGAGAGGCUCACCCUCGAGCACAGUUAGGAGA
rnacentral:pre_miRNA from 1 species